ACGGGUGAGUAAUGUCUGGGAAACUGCCUGAUGGAGGGGGAUAACUACUGGAAACGGUAGCUAAUACCGCAUAACGUCUUCGGACCAAAGUGGGGGACCUUCGGGCCUCACGCCAUCGGAUGUGCCCAGAUGGGAUUAGCUAGUAGGUGGGGUAAUGGCUCACCUAGGCGACGAUCCCUAGCUGGUCUGAGAGGAUGACCAGCCACACUGGAACUGAGACACGGUCCAGACUCCUACGGGAGGCAGCAGUGGGGAAUAUUGCACAAUGGGCGCAAGCCUGAUGCAGCCAUGCCGCGUGUGUGAAGAAGGCCUUCGGGUUGUAAAGCACUUUCAGCGAGGAGGAAGGCAUAAAGGUUAAUAACCUUUGUGAUUGACGU
rnacentral:rRNA from 1 species